rnacentral:rRNA from 1 species
AUGGAGUUCACCAGCUGGCCAUGGCAAUCCCUGCUCCUGUUCAGCACCCUCUCUCUCAUCUUCAUGCUGCAUAGCCGUCGAAAAGGCAAGGAGCAGCUCCCUCCAGGGCCGCCGGCCCUGCUGUUCCUUGUCAAGUUCUUGGCGCUCCGGCGGUCCAUCUUUGACCUUCCUCAGCUCCUACGCGAGCUGCACGCGCGCCAUGGCCCAGUCAUCUCCGUGCGCCUAUUCCGCCCGCUCGUCUUCAUCUCCGACCGCCACCUCGCUCACCGUGUCCUCGUCCAGAGCGGCGCGACCUUCGCCCACCGCCCGGACAUCUUCGAGCCCGGGCUUCUGUUCACCUCCGGCGCCCGCAACAUCAAUGCAGCGCCCUACGGUCCCUACUGGCGCCUCGUCCGCCGCAACCUCGCCACCGUGAUGUUGCACCCGGCCCGUGUCAGCCGUUUCGCGCCGGCGAGGCGGCGGACACGCGACGGGCUCGUCAGGGACCUCCUCGCAGUCGCAGGCUCGCGGCCCUUCACGGUGAGGCCAUUGCUCCGUCGCGCCAUGUUCGAGCUUAUCGUGUACAUGAGCUUUCGCGCCUGGCUUGGCCCGGAGGUGCUGAACGAGAUACAGGAGCUGCAGCUGUGGAUUGUGCGUAGCAUUCUAAGCUACCCCAUCUUCUACCUCUUCCCGUCCCUCACCAAGAGGCUCUUCCGCAAGCGGUGGGCUGCGCACGUGGCCGUGCGCCGGAGGCUGUGCGAGAUCUUCGUCCCGCUAAUCCACGCCAGGCAGCUGCAGGACGACGACACGCCGGCGCCAUGCUACGCCGACUCCCUCCUCGCGCUGCGAGUGGCCGAGGAGGGCGACCGCCCGCUGACGGACGACGAGGUGGUCAGCCUGUGCUCGGAGUUCUUGAGCGCCGGGAAUGACGGCACGGCGACCGUACUGGAGUGGAUCAUGGCAGAGCUGGUAAACCACCCCGAGAUGCAGGCCAGGGUCUACGAGGAGGUCAGGAGCAAGCCGGAGCUAAGCGAGGGCGACCUUCAGGAGCUGCCGUAUCUGAACGCGGUGGUGCUGGAGGCGCUGCGGCUGCAUCCGCCGGUCCACUUCCUCAUCCCGCACGGCGUGCAGAGCGACGGCGCGGAGAUCGGCGGCUACAAGGGGCCAAAGGGCGCGGAGGUGAACGUUCUGAUCGCGGAGGUGGGGCGCGACGAGACGGUGUGGACGGCCGCGCGGGAGUUCCACCCGGAGCGGUUCCUGGACGGCGGCGAGGGGUGCGACGUGGACAUCACCGGGAGGAAGGAGAUCAAGAUGAUGCCGUUCGGCGCCGGCCGCAGGAUUUGCCCCGGGUAG